rnacentral:rRNA from 1 species
AUGGGGCUUCCAGAUCCGUGGAGGAGCGCCGGAGGUCGCGCGCCGCCCGCCGUGCGGUUUUGCGCUACGGCCGGCCGGCCGUCGUCUCCGCCACGGUCGUCCUCUUCCUCCUCUGCUCCACCGCGUACAUCGACGGCGCCGCCGUGGCCGACCUCGAGCCUUUUCGCCUUCUCCUCGUCUGACGCGGAGGUGCUCUUACCCGACCUCGCCGCCGGGCCAAGGAAACCCCACCCCGCCGCGAGCUUUUCAUCCCUCAGGUCGUUCUUCCCUGCUCGCUCCCUCUCUCUUUCUCUCUGUCGUUGCUGCUCAAGUGCCAAGUUUCUGUUUCUGUUGGCGCUGCUGUGCGUGGAUGUGUUACUCUGGCCGUACUGCUCAUGUGCUCAUGCUUGGCUGCCGUGGAUGACUGGGUGUGGGAGUGUCCAGAUUCUAUGGUUCAUGUAUGCUCGUCUUUCUAGAUUCACCCCCUUUAAAAGGUAUUUUGAUGGAUGUAGUCUGCAUAUUAGGUUCUGCAUAUUAGAUUCACCCCCUUUGAAAGGCUCACACCUUGAUCUUCACUACCCCACCGCAGCUCACAUCGACACACAGCCCCCUCCCUGCUUCCUCUGCGUCUCCGAUGGCUGCUUCUUCUUCGACUCCGGCAUAGAAAAUGGAGCUGAUUCUUUGAGGUCAUCCAGCUUUCUACAACAUCGACAGUGGUGGCCGCCUCUUCCUCGUUUCAGUGUGUGCUUGCGCAUGUACUACCAUGUUUCCUUUGCUGCUGAGGCACCUUAUGCAAAUGCAUGGUUACACAAAGGGCCCUGCUGCUUCCUGCAGGAAUUUGGUCGUCUUGGUCCUCCACGGCGAGUUGGACUUUAUUUAAGCAAUGACAUCGUGUGGAAUUACUAUGCUCAUCCUUUCUACCACAACAUGUACAAGGAAUACCGUGACACCACCCCCGUCAAGGAGAUGUACAGAGAUGGCUUCCCGUCACUGCCAGAUCCCCCUGCAUCCAGAUCAUCAAGACUGCCACUGUUCCCGCUGGUCUACCAGAAGGCCGAGCAGCCAACCAGGAAGCUGAAGACGACCUUCAAGGCCUCAAGGCCAAACUUGUUCAUGCUAUCCAAGUCAUACGUCCAUAACCUCCAAGUUGCUAUCAGCAGUUAUAUUGUUCCUUCAUAUGGUCAUAUCUUUUUAGUUGCUUUUGUAGGAGAUGCUUUGCUUUUGAACAUCAAUGCACCGGUUCCUGUAGUUAGCAUGGCAACUUUGCCAAGGCGUGUUGACCGGCAAGAACAUGAACUAUGCCGUCCUGGCAUCAGCAUCUGCAGUCGUGUGAUGUUCGGCAUCCGCUACAACUCCGACGACUUGGCUUCUUUAGCCUUUGAAAAACAACAGAUUUUAUUUGAUAUUUGCCAUAUGAUCUUGACUCUGAUCCAGAAUGAGGUGUGGAUCAUCUUGGAGAAGCGAGGCAACAAUCAGUAGAUGUGGGAUGAGAUCCAACCGUUGAUUAGUUAUUUUGAUAAAGAGGGAGUAGUCAGUGUAUGCUGAGGGGAGGUUACUCCUAACUAGCUUGUUAAUUAUGCGAGGAAGCACUAGCACGGAUGCCCGUGCGUUGUAACGGGAGAGACAUUUCUUUGCAAAAAGCAACGGGAGAGAUAAUUGACAUGUCCA